rnacentral:rRNA from 1 species
AUUGAACGCUGGCGGAAUGCUUUACACAUGCAAGUCGAACGGUAGAGGGGGCAACCCCUUGAGAGUGGCGAACGGGUGAGUAAUAUAUCGGAACGUGCCCAGUCGUGGGGAUAACGUAGCGAAAGUUACGCUAAUACCGCAUACGAUCUACGGAUGAAAGCGGGGGAUCGCAAGACCUCGCGCGAUUGGAGCGGCCGAUAUCAGAUUAGGUAGUUGGUGGGGUAAAGGCUCACCAAGCCAACGAUCUGUAGCUGGUCUGAGAGGACGACCAGCCACACUGGAACUGAGACACGGUCCAGACUCCUACGGGAGGCAGCAGUGGGGAAUUUUGGACAAUGGACGCAAGUCUGAUCCAGCCAUUCCGCGUGCAGGAUGAAGGCCCUCGGGUUGUAAACUGCUUUUGUACGGAACGAAAAGGUUUCCAUUAAUACUGGGAGCUCAUGACGGUACCGUAAGAAUAAGCACCGGCUAACUACGUGCCAGCAGCCG